GGACUCGCCAAAGUCUGGAAGGGGAGCGCGGACCUGCCUCUGCCGCUCCUCGGCUGGCCCCGGCGCGCGGGACAGGCUGGGCAGAGAUAAAAGGGCACAAAAUUAUUUCUGUUUAAUAUGUGGGAGAUGCUCAGAUAAUAUGGUGAAGGGGGCGACAGAAGUACUUGGAUGAAUGGCUGGAUAGACAGGCAGUUGUGUUCCAGUGUGUGAACUGGGGUGAACAGAUUCUGAGCUGAUGAAAAUUGGCACUGAAGUGAAUGCAGCUAUGAAAAUUUACCCCAGCUAGGGAUUGCUGGAAGGAAUGGCUGGGGCUAUCCACGCUCUACCACUGAUUCACUGAAUGAUCUGAGGAAGCCUGACAGUACUAAGACUAUAGGUCUUCCAGAUGUCAUUCAAAUCUCCUAGCACACUCCAUCAUCCAAAAGGAAAGCCACAAAGAUCCCUCUGGAAUUGUGCAUCAUUCUGCAAACCAAGCCAAAGGUUGAGACACUAAUUGUUCCUCUUGCUGUAAGCAUCACUUCUGCAGCACACCCAGCUGCUGCCGGCCCAUAGAGUAAGAAAAAGCCAACUCAGUGUUUGAGCUCUGAUCCUCUGCAUAGUAACAACUCACCACUGGGAAAAUUUAUUAUUAAAGGAAGGUUUUAUAUUGAUAUGAUAAAUAUUUAUGCAGCACUUGAAUAUGCAGAGACUUCUGUUUACCUGUACCUACAAUUUUAAGAUUUUAAUGUUUUUAAUUGUUUGAGAUCUGUAGUGAUUAAAUGCUGCUUGCAGGAUUUGGGAAAUGACCAUUCUUGAUUUCCAAAUAUUCUAUUAGUCCAAAUAUUCCAAAUCUUCUGUAGCAUGGGCCACAUCUUGAGAGGUUGGCUUGUGAACACCUACCUGCACAUCCAUGAUUGCAUAA